rnacentral:rRNA from 1 species
UACGAAGGGGGCUAGCGUUGCUCGGAAUCACUGGGCGUAAAGCGCACGUAGGCGGACUCUUAAGUCGGUGGUGAAAGCCCGGAGCUCAACUCCGGAACUGCCAUUGAAACUGUAAGACUUGAGGAUGAGAGAGGUGAGUGGAAUUCCCAGUGUAGAGGUGAAAUUCGUAGAUAUCGAGAGGAACACCGGUGGCGAAGGCGGCGAUCUGGACGAUGACUGACGCUGAGACGCGAAAGCGUGGGGAGCAAACAGG